rnacentral:rRNA from 1 species
UACAGAGGGGGCAAGCGUUGUUCGGAAUUACUGGGCGUAAAGGGCGCGUAGGCGGCCUGCUAAGUCGAACGUGAAAUCCCUGGGCUCAACCCAGGAACUGCGUCCGAUACUGGUUGGCUUGAAUCCGGGAGAGGGAUGUGGAAUUCCAGGUGUAGCGGUGAAAUGCGUAGAUAUCUGGAGGAACACCGGUGGCGAAGGCGACAUCCUGGACCGGUAUUGACGCUGAGGCGCGAAAGCCAGGGGA